GACAGAGGGUGCAAACGUUGUUCGGAAUUACUGGGCGUAAAGCGCGUGUAGGCGGCCCUGCAAGUCGGAUGUGAAAUCCCACGGCUCAACCAUGGAAGUGCAUUCGAAACUGCAGAGCUAGAGUCCUGGAGAGGAAGGUGGAAUGCUUGGUGUAGAGGUGAAAUUCGUAGAUAUCAAGCGGAACACCGGUGGCGAAGGCGGCCUUCUGGACAGUGACUGACGCUGAGACGCGAUAGCGUGGGGAGCAAACAGG
rnacentral:rRNA from 1 species